rnacentral:rRNA from 1 species
UGGGGAAUUUUGGACAAUGGGCGCAAGCCUGAUCCAGCAAUGCCGCGUGCAGGAUGAAGGCCUUCGGGUUGUAAACUGCUUUUGUACGGAGCGAAAAGGUCUGCCCUAAUACGGUGGGCUCAUGACGGUACCGUAAGAAUAAGCACCGGCUAACUACGUGCCAGCAGCCGCGGUAAUACGUAGGGUGCGAGCGUUAAUCGGAAUUACUGGGCGUAAAGCGUGCGCAGGCGGUUGUGUAAGACAGGUGUGAAAUCCCCGGGCUUAACCUGGGAACUGCGCUUGUGACUGCACGGCUAGAGUAUGGCAGAGGGGGGUGGAAUUCCGCGUGUAGCAGUGAAAUGCGUAGAUAUGCGGAGGAACACCGAUGGCGAAGGCAAUCCCCUGGACCUGUACUGACGCUCAUGCACGAAAGCGUGGGGAGCAAACA